rnacentral:rRNA from 1 species
UUGGCCUCAAAUCAGGUAGGACUACCCGCUGAACUUAAGCAUAUCAAAA